rnacentral:tRNA from 1 species
GUAGCUCAGGGUGCGAGCGUCGCAUUGAUAAUGCGUCGGACGCUGGUUCGAUACCAGCC